rnacentral:rRNA from 1 species
CCCCUAGAUGUUCUGGGCCGCACGCGCGCUACACUGAACAGUUCAACAAGUCUUAACCUUGACCGAUAGGUCUGGGUAAUCUUUGAACGCUGUUCGUGAUUGGGAUAGACCUUUGCAAUUAUGGGUCUUCAACGAGGAAUUCCUAGUAAACGCAAGUCAUCAGCUUGCAUUGAUUACGUCCCUGCCCUUUGUACACACCGCCCGUCGCACCUACCGAUUGAAUGGUCCGGUGAAAUCUCGGGACGGCGGCUCGGUCGCUUGCGUCCGACUGCUGAAACUUGAUUAAACCAUAUCAUUUAGAGGAAGGUGAAGUCGUAACA